rnacentral:rRNA from 1 species
AAGACCCCUUGAAGACGACGAGGUAGAUAGGGCAGGGGUGGAAGCACAGCAAUGUGUGGAGCUGACUGUUACUAAUCGGUCGAGGGCUUGACCAA